rnacentral:lncRNA from 1 species
ACCACCUCCCCAGCUUGAUUGAUUGGAAACCCGCCGUUCACUGAUUUGUCCAGCAGAGGGCGCCCGACCCUGUUUUUGAGCAGUCCGGAAACAGCACAGGCUUUUCUGGCCAGGAAAAACAAAAAAAAAGCACAUUAGCAAGUUUCAGACAUUUUUUUUUCCCCUUUCAAAGUAACUGAAUCCUUUGUUCCACCAUAAAGGGGAUACAACAGGAACUGUAUGGUAGAGAGAGGCCCAGAACCGUUUUCGAUUGAAGUGCCACUGCUUGAAAUACCAUUUCACAGACGAGCCCAUCUGCGGCUUCUCGAAUUUGGCAAAGGAGCUCUUUUAAAAGAAAAAUUUCUCAAGGACACUGCUGCUACUGCCCUAAAUUAUUUUUGUGGUGAGGUUUCUUAAAUAAGCGCAAAUGUAAAACUGGGUACAAACUCUGUCCAAAGCAUGUAUGACAGCUGGUCGAUACGGAUUUGAAUAUAAAUGGUGAUGGUCAUU